UCUUAUGUAUAUAUGCUGAGUGACCUGCUUAAGGCGACUAUUGUUUCGACUAUCCCUGACUCUCUUCUUUGUUUGUAUCAAAUUCGUUCCUUCUUUCCUUCUAUUUCUUUUCCGAGUUUCUUCUCUGUCACUAUGGUAUUUUUCCAUCGAUCCUAUAAGAUGAGGCACUACUCACGAAAGUGGAGCUUGAAAUUAAAUCUGUCAAGAAAGAUCUUGCCAUAGAAUAUGAAAGGAGAGCAAGAAGUUACUUUGGUGAUUAGUAAAGUAACAACAGGUAGAAACGGCAGGAGACAGAAUAGUGUCUUUAUUGUAAGAGUUGAAUCAAAGCAAAAAUAAUCUGGUGCUAGCUCGAUGUUGGUGAAUGAUGAAUAUCGUGUAAUAUCUCAUGUUAUGUCUUUUUUAAGCUGUUAUCUUUUUAGCUUUUGAAGUUAGUAAUUUUGAGAAGCAAAGUAAUCGGUCAUACUAAAAAUCUUUAAUGUACUGUAUAUAACCAAAUGAAGUUGUAAUUUGUCUACAGCUUUUCAUUUAGCACCCAUUUAUAUUCAA